UCGACUACAACAUUUUGCUGAAAGCAAGUAUUCUCUUCCAAAGCAGACAGUGGCUCUACCAGCUACUUCGCAGUGGCAGCCUUGUGCAGUGAUGUCGUACAAAGCCUUUUUGAGCCUCUACAAACCGCAACAAGUCCCAAACCUGACUCAUGUCUAGAACUUUGCCUCGCUCUCUGUUGCCAGCUUAGUCAUUGCCAGCAGCCCUACAUGCAUCUGCUAAUCCUGUGGUAUCCUCAGCACCCUUCCCUCCUGUGAGAAAGCCCUGGUUAGUCAGCCCCUCGCAGAAAGAUCAAAAAGCAAGUGUUCUGUAUGACACAAGAGAUUUGGCGAGCACCCAUUUCUGGAGGAAGAAACCAUGCAAUUGUAGUCUCACUCGACCAAGACAUCAGACCUCAGCUUCCCAGCUGCUCAGACUUCUGUUGUUCAUUCCUGGGCAUGGACCUGAAAAUCCAUCUGCUACAAGAAGAAGUUCACUCUUGGUGGAAAGACAAGCUGGUGGGAUUUUAGUUUCUUUUAACCUGUGUUAUCUUUCCCUGCUCUGGAGGCUGGAAUUUAAAAGCUGAGGCACAGGUCACAUUGUGGGCAGGAGAGAGUGGAAAAUGUGUACAGUUGUCAAACUGCAACCAAAUGUCUCAUCUACAUGUGGACUUGCCUCACCCAUAUGCUGUACCCCCGAGGGCACCCUUCACUGCCUCCUCAAAGGGCUCCUGGUGUUUCCCCAUGCAGAGAUAACUCACUCCAGAGAUAACCGUUUGUUUGUUUAGUCUGGCUUCCACCUAAGGUAAAUUAAAAACAACCUUCUACAAGCUCUGGGAGACCUGUACUGAACAGCUAUGAACAAAUCCCUGUAGUUCAACCCAGCUGUGGCUCCUGGUUCAUUGAAAAGGUCUUCAGGCUGGGGGGAACAGGGGUGCAGGGGCUACUUGGGACCUGUAUGGCCGAUGUGCUGAACCUGCUGCCUUCUCUGAGUGACCUUGCACAUUGGCCAACUUUGAGAUCUAUGAAAACCAGUGGUCCCUUGCCUGGGCCAGGAGAGCAUUCACAGACAAGCGCCUUUUAUUUCUCUUUUGUAGCGCCACAUGUGUACAUCUGGACCUUGGAUGAAAAUCAGAACGGGGCAUGCAGGUCCCAUUCAAAUAGCUGCUGACAUUACUGGAGAGUCUCCUGGUAGCUUCAUGGGGAUGUGGACCAAGCCCCUGUAGGUUCGUUUACUUAUAUAUUUAUUUAUUACCAAUUUUGUCAUUUGGUCACCAGCUGGAUUAUUUGCACCUUUCUCAUGCAAUUAAAUGACACAAGCUGCUAGUUCUGGAUUUCUUUCUCACAACCAGCUAGAAACCAUGAUAGAAAACAUAACCCUGCCACAUCAGAGACGUUCUUCAUAUAUCGUAUUGUAUUCGCAUCUAGGUUUCCUUGUUUCUAGCCAAUCUCAUCUGUUAUCUGUUUUGGUCUGCUUAUGGGAACUGGUAAUUUUUGAAAAUUGAGAGCAAGGAAAGAACAAUGUUUUUUUCCUUUGUAUUUUACAUCCUAAGGAAACCAAUAGGAUCUACACAAGCACAUGAAAACAUAGCCCUCAAAUUAGCAAUAAGUUAGCACAUGCUUUUUCUGUAUGGAAAAUUUAAAGAGACAAAGAUCAUCAUGGGGAAGUAUUUUAAUGUAAUGAAAUAAAUCUGUGCCCCAUAAUGCUUGGAUACUUGGCUCUGCUUUUGUCUCUCUUGGAGGGUGCUGACACUCAGACUUGGUGAUGGAUUAAACAGUGACAGCUGAGAUAGUUACUGCCCUCAGCUGUGCAUCCUGCCCUUUUGGAAAUUACUGCCCUCCUGCAGCUGGCACAACUCAACGCUUCAUGAAUCUGGUUUCAGACUGCCAGACUUCACGCCGGCCAUGGCUCAUGUGGAUUCACUGGCCCGUAAACUCCUGUGGCUUGGAGUGACCAUUGAGCAUACCUAAGCAAUCUUCCCAAAACAUAGUUUAACCCUCGCAUGUUUAUUGUCAGAGCAAGCCCCUGGAUUGUCAGUUCAUCAAGACCCUCCAAGCCUCGUGGGCACAGCAAGUCAGGCAAGAGGCAGUUGAAAUACCACAAACUGCUGGAGAGGUUUCUUAUGGGGCAGGGAAUGGGGCAACAUUAACUUCUUGAAAAAGCCUUUCUGCUAUAAAACUGACAGAGCUCUGGCAGCCACUUCUGCCACAUCAAAUCUUACCAGCUCUCCCCUCCCAAAAAGGAAACAAGCAGAAUUUAAGGCACUGAAUCAAAAAAGAGGCUCAGGUCUGUAGAACUAAGUCUGAAAAAGAAUAAAUGCCAUAAACUCUAUGAAAUCCACUAGGGACUUCGCUAUUCAUUCUGCACUGCAGAUGGUCAGACAAUAUGGUAAUGUGGUAAUGUAAAACCUGUUGCUAGAUUCAUGGCAGGUGAUUCAGCUAAAGCAUUGUGGAUUAACUUUAUAGGAUGCUGCUUCUGAUAGUUCAAAACCAGCACUCGAUAGUGUCAGAUCAGGAAGAUGUGGCCCUAACUCCAUCUGCACAGAGAUUUGAAAAUCCACUGGCAAAGCUUUAACUUCUUCAAAAAACAACAGCAGAUAAUGCUUCAAAACAGUGUUUGUUUAUCUUUUAUUCUUUUGCUUCUAAUGGUCUCAUUCUGAAUUUGAAAAUAACUUCCUCUCUACUUUUGUUAUGAUUUCCCUACUGGGAAGAAACCAAAAGAUCCAAGCUACGUCAAGUCAGAAGAAAUGUGUGCAAAGCUAACACGGUUCAGGAGGCUGUGUUUGAUCACUAAAUGUUGCCACGAAGCCAGCAAGAGCUGGGCACAUCACCCUUGUGGGAGCUCUGCCAUGGACUGAGUGGGCCUAGGAAUCUCAGUUCGUUUGUUAUAGAAUUGGAAGAGUAACAAAUCAAACAAAAGAACAACAAGUUACUUGGCCUCCACAUAGUAUUUGGAUGUCCUAGUCUUUUGCUGUAUGAAGCCAGGUUUUAGUUUUCUGGAAAAAGUAUGGCCAAGCACAGUCCACCAGUACAGGUUAAUAGUACUUGCCAAGGUGGCCAGUCAAAAAUGUCACAAUUCUGUCUUUGUUCACUGAUAUCUAAUCCUUUACAGGGACUUACCUUCUUGGAAAAUACAUGGCAAGAAAGUGUCUCUGGUUUUGCAAACAAGUUCUUGUCCUAACAAUGCACUGACCAGAACAUUUCUACAUAUUUGGGAGGAAGGUUUUUCCGCCAACAAGAGCUGCUGCUCCAGGAGCUGUUGCAUAAAAAGGGGCACCUGUUAUCUUCUGGAUGCAUCAUAAAGAAUACUGUAGGUCUUCAGGGUCAGGAGGGCACCAGAAGACAGCAAAGGCCUGGUCUGGAGAAUAACCAGAGGAAGAAAUGGGAUGCCUUUAACAGGUGUGAAUGGAAAGGCUGAUCUAUCCCCAGCUCCUCGUGAAUGACUCAUGCAGGGUGUGGUCAUGCUGGAACCCUCAAGUUAUUCUGCUAUAGGCAGGAGCUCACGUUGCAAUUCAUCUACCCUUUAAGCUGAGAAGAGCAGCAGCGUAGAUACAAUCUGAAACCCAGUUCCAUCCUAGCAUGGUCAAAGGAAACAACUCUGUUGAGGAUAUUAGAGGGGAAUUCCUCCACUGAUGACAACAUGAGAAAAACAUUAUCUUAAUAUUAAUCUUAUCUUCAAAAGAUUAUGCUGCUAUUUUUUGAAAACUGAAACUUAGACUAUUUAUCUAGCACAGCUAUGUUGGUUCAAUUAGAAAUUGUAGACUCUGUCAAAAUAUUCCAGCCCUCCAAGAAAUGUCACCCUUACAUGUAAAGUUGACACAGUUUGCAUGAAGCCAUUUUCAGAGGAAUUCCAAACACCUUUGCGAUACAGUCAUGCAUUUAGUUCAACAUUUUCAGUGAGGUGACUUCUACUGCAUACAAUUCAGUACAAUCCCUUGAAAAAGACCAUCUAACAAUCUGAUGUGAAAAAAUAAACCACCUAUUUAUGGCAGCCCUUUUCUGUAAAUGCUAUCGAUACAAAAAAAAAAAAAAAAAAAA